rnacentral:tRNA from 1 species
AAAAAUUUAGUUAAAUCAUAACAUUAGUUUGUCAAACUAAAAUUAUUUUCUUUUAAAAAAUAAUUUUUA